rnacentral:rRNA from 1 species
GAUGAACGCUGGCGGCAUGCCUAAUACAUGCAAGUCGAGCGGCCACACAGUAAGCUUUUUCCUUUACCGUUAGCGGCGGACGGGUGGGUAACACGUGCAUCGCCUUCUUCUUUUACUUGGAUAACUACGUGGAAACGGUUCCAAUACUAGAUAAUAUCUUCAACGGCUUGGUUCAAUGGUUCUACACGCCUUUCGCGUUUCUUUUAGCUGGUUCCGGGUUGGAUUAGCUAGUUGGUAAGGUACCGGCUUACCAAGGCGACGAUGCUGAGCCGACCUGAGAGGGUGAUCGGCCACACUGGAACUGAGACACGGUCCAGACUCCUACGGGAGGCAGCAGUAGGGAAUAUUCGGCAAUGGGCGAAAGCCUGACGCAGCAAUGCCGCGUGAGUGAUGAAGGCCUUCGGAUCGUAAAGCUCUGUUAUUGGGGAAGAAAAGAUGUGGAAGAAAACACGGAUGUCUUGACGGUACCAAAAGAAAAAGCAACGGCUAACUACGUG